GCUCGAUUAACUCAGUGGUAGAGUGCUACCUUCACACGGUAGAAGUCACUGGUCCGAAUCCAGUAUCGAGCA
rnacentral:tRNA from 1 species